rnacentral:rRNA from 1 species
AAACGACUCUCGGCAACGGAUAUCUCGGCUCUCGCAUCGAUGAAGAACGUAGCGAAAUGCGAUACUUGGUGUGAAUUGCAGAAUCCCGUGAACCAUCGAGUCUUUGAACGCAAGUUGCGCCCGAAGCCUUCUGGUUGAGGGCACGUCUGCCUGGGCGUCACGCAU